CGCGGCCGUCGCCGAGCCGCUCGCCGCCGUGGCGGAGGAGGGGGAGGGGGAGGGGGAGGCGUCCACCCUCACCAUGGAGCGCGUCGCCGCCGCCAAGAAGUUCAUCGAGAACCACUACCGCUCCCACAUGAAGAACAUCCAGGAGCGCAAGGAGAGGCGUUUUAGACUGGAGCGGCAGCUAGCUACUUCUGAAGUUCCCAGGGAGCAGCAAAUCAAUUUAAUAAAAGACCUGGAGAGAAAGGAAACUGAGUACAUGAGACUUAAAAGGCACAAAAUCUGCGUGGAUGACUUUGAGCUGCUCACCAUUAUUGGGAGAGGCGCUUUUGGAGAGGUUCGACUGUGCCGGGAGAAGACCUCUGGCAACAUAUAUGCAAUGAAAAAACUGAAGAAGUCUGAUAUGGUUAUCAGGGGUCAAGUGGAGCAUGUUAGAGCAGAAAGAAACUUGAUGGCUGAAGUUGCUAGUCACUGCACUGUGAAGCUAUACUAUUCUUUCCAAGAUACUGAGUAUCUUUACCUUAUUAUGGAGUACCUCCCUGGCGGUGAUAUCAUGACCCUUCUCAUGAGGGAAGAUACCUUAACUGAACCCGUGGCUCGAUUCUACAUUGCUGAGACCAUCCUUGCCAUUGAGUCCAUUCAUAAGCACAACUACAUCCACAGAGAUAUCAAGCCUGAUAAUCUGCUUCUAGACAAGAAUGGUCACAUGAAGUUGUCGGAUUUUGGGCUGUGCAAACCAAUUGAUUGUUCAAAGCUCUCAACCUUGAGCGAAGAUGAACCCAUGGGCGAUGACAACCUGAAGGAGUCAAUGGAUGUCGACAGUUCACUCUCUGAAACUGCAAAUGGCAGAAGGUGGAGAAGUCAACAUGAACAACUUCAGCACUGGCAGAUGAACAGAAGAAAACUGGCAUUCUCAACUGUUGGAACCCCAGACUAUAUUGCUCCAGAAGUUCUGCUAAAGAAAGGAUAUGGAAUGGAAUGCGAUUGGUGGUCUUUGGGUGCAAUAAUGUAUGAGAUGCUUGUUGGGUAUCCACCAUUUUAUUCCGAUGAUCCAAUAACCACAUGCAGAAAGAUUGUGCACUGGAGAAACCAUGUGAAAUUUCCAGAUGAUUCAAGGCUGUCUCCUGAGGCAAGAGAUCUAAUCUGCCGGUUAUUAUGUGAUGUUGACCACAGGAUUGGUGGUGCAGGGGCUGAUCAAAUAAAGGCCCAUCCUUGGUUCCGUGGAGUUGCAUGGGAUAAACUUUAUGAAAUGGAAGCAGCAUUUAAGCCUCAAGUAAAUGAUGAAUUGGAUACACAGAAUUUCAUGAAGUUUGAUGAGAUGGAUAAUAGCCCUCCAGCAAGAACAGGUUCUGGGCCAUCAAGAAAGGCGAAGCUGAAUUCAAAAGAUCUCAGCUUUGUGGGAUAUACAUACAAAAACUUUGAUGCUGUGAAAGGAUUAAAACAUGCAGAUAUGCAAAGGAGCUCAUCGCUAACAAGGCCCUCUAUUGGUGCUAUAUUCGGAUCAAAUGGCAUGGAGUCAUCGAGAGAACCAAAUGGAAAGGACACACACAUGCACACCUUUUCUUCUGGGGAUCCGAUGAGCCCAUAA
rnacentral:rRNA from 1 species